GCCUUAAUUGAAGCCCACAUGUGAAUCACAUCUUCUGCUGCAUGCUGGCUCCUUCUGCCUGAAUACACAGAAAUCAUCAUAAAUCCUAAGUUGCCCUCUGUCCAUCAGGACUUGAAACCAUUGAGUUGUAAAGUUGAGCCUUCAAAAUCAUCCAGUCCAGAGAUUUUCAAGUUUGACUAUGCAUUAUAACAAGCUUUGGAUUUAAAACACAUAAACCUGAGUCGCAGUCCCAGGCUGCAUACAUCAUCAGAGGAGAAUUUGGAUCACCUGUUUCCAGGCCUUGGUAAAGCAAUUCAGGAUAAAUGUUCCAUAAGCUCACUGUGCCUCCCAAAUAGUUUUAGAAAAUCACAAGAAGGCUAAAGAAGAAUAAGCACCAAAGAAAAGUGAGAUGGUCUGCAAACUAUUUUCAGAAUACCAGGUCUGAUUCAGACAAUGAAAAUGAAAUAAUUUCUGUUUCCAAAGGAAGCAUCAUAGCAGGGCCCCGCCUGAUGUCACUUCAACUCCGAGUGCCAACAUGAAAACACGCAAAAGCCUGUUUUCCAACUUGUAGAUCAGAAAACAGGCCUGAUACUGGGAGACAUGUUUUCAUAUCAAGUACGCAGCAUUCUGACAAAGCUCCUCCGUCCCCACCUUUCUCAGUUGUAAGAAAACCCAAGAUGUGUUGAGCUCGCUAGAAUCAAAGUUGACUUUGGCAAUAGUACUCCUUCAUUUGAUCCAAAUUUACAAGUGGAGAAGUUACAGCACUCCAUUUUUGUUCACGUAUCUACUUCUCUACCAUGUGACUGAGAGAAAGCUGAUCUGGACACUGGAACCUGCUUCAUCUGAGCCAGUAAAUGUGCAACAUUGUCCGGGUGACAUUAUGCAUUCAGAGCUGUACAUGAGGAACUAAGUCUGCCCAAUUAUAGUCCAUGAUUGAAGGAGAGGUUUCUUUAGCUCUUCCACAAGAUCUAACAAAAGACAAUGAUUCACUUGAUAUGUCAACAAACUGGGGGCAUUGAGGACCCAAAUCAAGGAGAAGCUGACAGAUCAAAGGAUAACAGAUUUUAAAAACUUGAAUUCUUGAUGACAGUACUGAGCUACUGAAAAAAAAAAAAUCAGCCUGGGAACCUUACUGACUUCUAAAUUGCUUCUUAUGUGGGAUGAAAAAUAUCUGAAGAUCCACUGUUGAUGUGAAUGAUUUUUAUAUGAUUACUCUUCAAAAUGUGAUUAUUAUUUGUAUAUUUGCACUGUAAGAAUAUAUCUUAAAUUUUUACUUUAUUUAGCCACGGUCACUAUAUCUUUGAGCAUUGAACAUAUUUAAGCAACAAUAUUUCAACACUUCUUUCAAGUGGAUUUUUGAAGUUACUGGGUCCAGAGGAGUUUUACGUGUCCCGAAUAAAAUGCUAAUUUGUAUAUCUAUAAGUAUGUAUUUUUAUAUUUUUCCUUUUCAAAAUUA